UCAAAUAAAAAUCGGUGUUGUUUACUAUACCCUUAGUGGUGGUAACGCAUCGGAGUUGAGUCAUCUUUACCUUUCUUGGUUUUAAGUGACUUAAAAAUUUUGUACGAUUUUUGAACGUAUUUAAACUUUUACGUACGUUCUUAAUAUCAUAUAUCUAUUAGAUGUGGUCAUCCUUAUGAGUUCGCAUCCAUAAUUUUUUCAUU
rnacentral:misc_RNA from 1 species